GACGAACGCUGGCGGCGUGCUUAACACAUGCAAGUCGAACGAAAAGAGGGAAAGAGCUUGCUCUUUCCGGAAUUGAGUGGCAAACGGGUGAGUAACACGUAAACAACCUGCCUUCAGGAUGGGGACAACAGACGGAAACGACUGCUAAUACCGAAUAAGUUCCAAGGGCCGCAUGGCCCAUGGAAGAAAAGGUGGCCUCUACCUGUAAGCUAUCGCCUGAAGAGGGGUUUGCGUCUGAUUAGCUGGUUGGAGGGGUAACGGCCCACCAAGGCGACGAUCAGUAGCCGGUCUGAGAGGAUGAACGGCCACACUGGAAUUGAGACACGGUCCAGACUCCUACGGGAGGCAGCAGUGGGGAAUCUUCCGCAAUGGGCGAAAGCCUGACGGAGCAACGCCGCGUGAGUGAUGAUGGCCUUCGGGUUGUAAAACUCUGUGAUCCGGGACGAAAAGGCAGAGUGCGAAGAACAAACUGCAUUGACGGUACCGGAAAAGCAAGCCACGGCUAACUACGUG
rnacentral:rRNA from 1 species